rnacentral:rRNA from 1 species
AGUCCUCAAGUUAUGU